rnacentral:lncRNA from 1 species
UCUUUCGUGAAAUUUUCUCUGAUGCAAAAUCAACAUGUUACAGUGAUAUACAUAUCAGGCUGGUAAUGAAUUGACCAUCUCCUAACUUCAAACACUUGUAUAUAGACUUAUUCCUAAUUUAAAUUAGAUAAACAAUUCAUUGCAUUAAAAUUAAAUAGGAUUAAUUAAUCUUAAAUAUAAAAUGGUAAACCAUCAAGGUUUUUUAACUCAUCUGUCCGAACCGGGUUCUUAAGACUCAUUGCACACAACCAACGGAAGUCCGCUCACCUCUACAUAUGCCGCCAUUGGACUGCCAUAUGCCACUGGCGAACCGCCACGUGUCACCGUGAGCUAGUGGACAAUCACCAUAGAACGCCUCCUACAUUCAGAUCCUAUAUGGAUAUGGUGAAAUUGCACUGAACGGAGCUACAGAUUUAUGAAAUAGCGCGACCAGCCACCGAGAUUAUUCCUCUCCAAUCCAACCAUCGUGCGCAGCAGCAACAACUUUUUUUUCUUCUCCUUCUUCCUUUCCUUUUCUUCUCCUGGCCACCGACCUCACCGUUGCGAGCUCCUCUGUCCUUAUCUCUCUUUCUCUAUGUUUCUCUUUCUCUCUCUCUCUCUCUCUCUUCUUGCACCAAUCUCUUUCUCUCUCUUCUCACAAAUCAC